UUCCGUUGUUUCUGCACGUGUCUGCAUGAGCCAGUUGUAACAGUGUGUAAAUCAUUGUUUAUUUAUGUUUUUUAUAGGGACGGACCUGACAGGCAAAUCCUUUACUGCCUUAAAUGCAAAAAGCCAUAUGAAAACUUGUCCACUCAUAUGAGAAAGGUCUGCAUGAAAAAAGACACGGAGGAAAUGCGGAAAGAACGACUCAGGCAAGCAAAGAUAUCCCAAAAAGACUGGACCAAGGUGGCCAGAAGUUGGGAAUACGGUGAGAUCGCGGAGUUAAUGAACAGCGCAGAUCCCUGCCGUGCACUCAUUGAGAGAUUGGAGAGCAAAGGCUUUUUUGUGCUCAAUAACCCAGGACGCUCCACGGCAGAUGUCGUUACAAAUGAAAAAGAAGUGGUGAACAAUGUUCCGGGUAGCCCUGGGGAACAACAGAACCAUGUCCUGGACAGGUGAAUAUUACAUUACAUUACAUGUAUGCAUUUAGCAGAUGCUUUUAUCCAAAGCGACUUACAAACGAGGAUUAACAAUCAAGCUACAUAGAGGGAAGUGUGUAGAAGAAAGUAGUGCUGUACAGGGUGGAGAGGGUAAUGCAGGGUAAGUGCUAAGACAGGAGGUGCUCUCUAAAGAGUUGGGUCUUGAAGUUUCUUGAAGCUGGAAAGAGACACCCCUGUUCUCUUGUGUGUUCCUCAAAAAGACCAGAUCUUGAUUUCACAACUGACGAUGCUGGGACCUCUGCCACCUAUCCCCAGCAGUGCAGUGCUCUAAAUAUAAACUAAAUUCAUGUGUGUGUCACACUUCUUUUGUCAACUUUUAUAUAGCUAAAAACAUGAAUUCUGGUUAAUGAUCACUGUGGAAUUGUUUUGUGUAAACAUUUUGCAUUAUUACAAUAUUGUUUAUGUCAAAUGAUUAAAGACAUAACAAAAAUGUAUUUAUAUAGUGUUCAUAACAGCAUAAUAAUAACCACAUUCAUAAUCUCAUGUAAAAAACAAACAAGCACAAGGCACAUUUUUGGACACAUUGGGGACUGAAAUGGAUUUAAGAACCCCCUGAGAUUGAAUGUCAUCACUGAGACAUGGUGAAACACAUGGAUGCCAAUCAACAUACAUGUGUAUGAACACCAGUCAACACUAAGAUAUUACUCUGUGCUCUUCUGGGAAUACUUGAUGCAGGCAUUUCACAUAUAUUUUUUACAUCACUUUGGCUACGCAAGGCUCUGACUUGCACAACACUGACACAAUGCAACACAGGACCUCAACAAGCCCCACUCUUUAACUUUUUUUUUUUCCUAACGAGGCGCUGUUGGAUUCCCGCUGACCUACUCUAUCCCAUUAGUGUAUCGAAGGAAAACCACUUGGUAAAGGUUAGGAAGCAGUCGAGGGCCAGGAGAAGGCACUGCACCAUCCUCCCUGGAAUGUUUUACCCCCACACGUGUCGUUGAAGAUGAGGCAGGAGUAUCCAAGAGACCCGGGAGUAUGUAAUCCUCCAGGUCAAUCAACUGAUUUUCCCACCACGCUCUCAUACUCUGGAACGCCCACCACAGAUGUUUCAUUUUUAACUUCACUUUUCUACGUUUUCACUUUUUUUUGUGUGUGUGUGUGUGUGUGUGUGUGUGUGUGUGUGUGUGUGUGUGUGUGUGUGUGUUUUUCCUCCUUUUUUGUCCUUCUCCUAUAAUACAUCCAUUUCAUUACAACCCAGCUACAGUUAUUGUUUUAUGCUUUUCUUGCCAGUGCUGAACAUGACCAUAACAUGAGCUGUUUUAAAUUUGCUUUAGAAAUGACAUGUACUUAGUUGCAGCUCUUCAUCCUCUGUGGGCCACAUGAGCCAGGAAGUACUAACUGUACUUUCCCUGACCAUUCCUCUUUAAUAAUGACUGUAUAUCGCCAGGAAACAACUGUAUUGUAAUGUGGCGCUGCACAAAUGCAGUCUGUAGUCUGGAAGACAGGCCAUGAAUCUUGCAGAGUUAGGAAUGCCAUGUUCAUUCACUAAUGUAUUUUUCUCCGUUUCCAUUCUGCUAAGUGAGCCUGGUGUUGCCCCAGACACAAGUGCUGCCACAAACAUAUCACUGAGUUGCCAGAUUACAGCCAAGACCCCAUGGCUAUCCUUGACCAACAGUUCCCGCAAGAGUGCACGUAUGACACAAUCGAUUGGGAGGAGUUUUGAAACCUGUGAUGGGGCAGCUCCCCCUCCCUGAGCAGACACUUUGUGUGUGUGUGUGUGUGUGUGUGUGUGUGUGUGUGUGUGUGUGUGUGUGUGUGUGUGUGUGAUGGGGCAGCUCCACCUCCCUGAGCAGACACUUUGUGUGUGUGUGUGUGUUUCAAGUUCAAAGACCACCUGUAAGGUAGAGACUAGGGUCUGAAAUGGACAGUGUAAAACACAGGGUGCCGAGGCUCCUUCCCAACAGGGGGUGCCUACACACCUCCUGAUGAAAACAAUAGAGGUGCCGUCCUGCGAGAACAUGGGGGUUUGACCGGACUGGUAGGUGUGUCUUGGUAGGUGAGGCAAAAACAGACUGUCAAAUCAUUCAACCACUUUAUUUGAGCAGAAUGGAAGGCAGAAAAGCAACACAAAAGACCAAACAUCUGGAGUCUCUCUCACACACACACACACACUCUGCUAGACUGUGUUCUCUCUCAUAGACACAGACAGACUGUCAUUCUCAUAUACUGUCGCUAAAGGGCCCAGAGUGAAAACAUGCUAUUAAAAGAGUCAUAUGUGAUUACAUUUAUGCAU